UCGUGAAUCUUAGCGUAAUGUC
rnacentral:miRNA from 11 species